GACGAACGCUGGCGGCGUGCUUAACACAUGCAAGUCGAACGGAAAGGCCCUGCUUGCAGGGUGCUCGAGUGGCGAACGGGUGAGUAACACGUGGGUGAUCUGCCCCUUACUUUGGGAUAAGCCUGGGAAACUGGGUCUAAUACUGGAUAGGACCAUGCUGUAGGUGGUGUGGUGGAAAGAUUAGUUUCGGUAAGGGAUGAGCUCGCGGCCUAUCAGCUUGUUGGUGGGGUAAUGGCCUACCAAGGCGUCGACGGGUAGCCGGCCGGAGAGGGUGGACGGCCACAUUGGGACUGGGAUACGGCCCAGACUCCUACGGGAGGCAGCAGUGGGGAAUAUUGCACAAUGGGCGCAAGCCUGAUGCAGCGACGCCGCGUGGGGGAUGACGGCCUUCGGGUUGUAAACUCCUUUCAGCCAUGACGAAGCCCUUGUGGUGACGGUAGUGGUAGAAGAAGCACCGGCUAACUACGUG
rnacentral:rRNA from 1 species